rnacentral:rRNA from 1 species
UACAGGGGCCCCGAGCGUUAGGCGGAAUCACUGGGCUUAAAGCGUGUGUAGGUGGAUGCCUAAGUACCUUGUGAAAUCCCACGGCUUAACCGUGGAAUUGCUGGGUAUACUGGGUGUCUUGAGCCACUCAGGGGCUACCGGAACAAAUGGUGGAGCGGUGAAAUGCGUAGAUAUCAUUUGGAACGCCAAUGGUGAAAACAGGUAGCUGGGGGUGUGCUGACACUGAGACACGAAAGCCAGGGGAGCAAACGGG